AGAAGAAGAAGCGUUGUUACAGUGCGCAUGCGCGUGAGCUGAGGCAGAAACCUGCUGGCGCCAAAUUUGGAGACUACUGGAAUAACUGCUGCCAUGUGGACUUUACUCAAACUGAACAAAAUGAAGAUACGAGUGGAAACAUCUGUACAGUGUUGGACUAUAUAACACAUAUACAUGACUGUCAUAAGGACUUUUGAUAACAAACAGUAGAUGGCAGCAUUACGUCAUUGAAGUGACUAGUCCGUCGAAUCCGAAGAGGAAGAAGUUUGGUAUAUCUUUCAAGUGGCGUCUUUCUCCAACCGAGGAGAGGAGCACGAUGUCGUCGCUGACUCUGCACGGGGUGACGGUGGACUUCCCCUUUCCCCCGUACGACUGUCAGAAGGUCUACAUGAGCAAAGUGAUCGAAUGUCUCCAGAAGAAGGUGAACGGGGUCCUGGAGAGUCCCACUGGCACAGGUAAAACCCUGUGCCUGCUGUGUGCCACCCUGGCCUGGAGGGAGCACUUCAAGGACACCAUCUCCGCCCGCAAGAUAUCGGAGAGGCUGGGUGGGGAGAUGUUCCCAAACACGCCGCUGUCAUCCUGGGGAUCAGCUGCUACGGACGGCGACACGCCAACGUACUACACCGAUGUCCCCAAGAUCAUAUACGCCUCCAGGACACACUCUCAGCUCGCACAGGUUAUCAAUGAGUUGAAAAACACUUCGUUCAGGCCAAAGGUGUGUGUGCUGGGGUCAAGAGAGCAGCUGUGUAUCAACCAGGAAGUGAUGCGUCAAGAGAGCAACCAUGUCAAGGUCCACAUGUGCAGAGGAAAAGUCUCCACCAGGUCGUGUAUCUACUACAAUAAUGUUGAUGAGAAGAGCACUGACAGAGACUUGGUGGAAUCCAUCCUUGACGUGGAAGACUUGGUCAAAUUCGGCAACAAACAGAAGGUCUGUCCUUACUAUCUCUCACGUUCCUUGAAGCAGCAAGCAGAUGUCAUUUUCAUGCCCUACAACUACCUGCUGGAUCCAAAGAGCCGCAGAGCUCACAACAUUGAGCUGAAUGGAGCUGUGGUCAUUUUUGAUGAAGCUCAUAAUGUGGAAAAGACGUGUGAAGAGGCGACAUCGUUUGACCUGACUCCGUAUGACGUGGCCUCAGCUAUUAGUGCUGUGGACCGGCUGCUGGCGGAACAAGCUGAAAACGCCAGCCACGGAGACUCUGUCACCGAAGACUUCAACGUAGAAUCCCUCAACUCUGGUUUAAAAAUGGAUAUAACCACCAUUGCUAAAAUCAAACAGAUUCUGCUGGAUCUGGAAGCUGCAAUCGAUUCAUAUGAUGUUCCGAGUGACAAAGGCAUCACGAAACCUGGAAUCUUCAUCUAUGAGCUGUUGGAGAGAGUUCACCUGACCUACAGCAGCAAGACGGCUGUCUACGAAGCCCUGGAGCAGAUCAGCGGAUACUUAGCCGGCCAGACGGGAAUAUUCCUGAACACAAGUGGAUUGCAGAAGCUAGGAGACAUCAUACAGUUGGUGUUCUGCGGUGAGCCAUCAGAAAAGGACCGACAACAGCAGAUGCAGUCCAACACUGCUCAUUUCAAGGUUCAUAUCCACAGAGACAACAGCUUUCAAAAGAAAAAACAGAGCGCUGAUGUGUGGGCUUCAUCCUCAUCCAAGAAACAAGGCAACAUUCUCAGUUACUGGUGCUUCUCCCCUGGCUUCAGCAUGCAGGAUCUGGUGAAUCAAGGUGUUCGCUGCAUCAUUCUGACGAGUGGGACCCUCUCUCCCCUGUCCUCGUUCACUUCUGAGAUGAGGAUAGAGUUCCCCGUGUGCCUAGAGAACGGCCACGUGAUAGAGCGGGACCAGAUCUUCGUCAGCGUCAUUGAGCGAGGCCCAGAUGGAGUGCAACUCAGUUCAGCAUUUGAUAGAAGGUUUGUUCCUGAAAACAUGGCAUCUUUAGGCAACACUGUCGCCAACCUGAGCCGUGUGGUUCCCCAUGGCCUCUUGGUGUUUUUUCCCUCCUUCCCGUUAAUGGAAAAAACCCUGGACUUCUGGAGAGCCAACGGACAUGCAGACCGCAUUGAAAACAUAAAGCCUAUGUUUGUUGAAACCAAAGGAAAGGGCACCUUCACUGAGACUAUGGACGGUUAUUACAACAAAGUCAGCGAUCCAGCGUCCAAAGGGGGAACCUUCUUUGCUGUGUGUCGAGGGAAGGCCAGCGAGGGUCUGGAUUUUGCAGACAACUUUGGUCGGGGUGUCAUCAUCACCGGCCUUCCCUUCCCUCCAAGGAUGGACCCUCGGGUCAUCCUGAAGAUGCAGUUCUUGGAUGAGAUGAGCCGGAGGAAAACCCCUGGGGUAAAGUACCUGUCUGGGCAGGAUUGGUACCGACAGCAGGCUUUCAGAGCUGUGAACCAGGCCAUCGGUCGAGUCAUUCGCCAUAAGGAGGACUAUGGAGCCAUCUUCCUAUGUGAUCACAGGUUUAGAGGCUCUGAUGCCCGGGCUCAACUGCCGUCGUGGGUGAGGCCUUAUGUACGCCUGUACGACGGCUUCGGGAAUGUGGUCCGUGACGUCUCUCAGUUCUUCAGGGUUGCACAGAAAAUGAGGCCUGUGGUGGAGAAGAAGAAGACGGCUGCAACAGAGAGCUGUGGCACUUUGAGUUCACCAGGCCCUCAGUCCUCUGGCGUCACUUCCAGCGUAUCCUCCCAAAGCUCCCACCCGCAGAAGGCCAAGGUGCUGGACUCUCACCUUCCUAGCAUGAAGCGGAGGAGGCUCAAUGAACACGCCGGAGGCAGUGGGAUGGCCAGGAUCUGUAUCGAGUACGAGUGUGAGCUACAGGAGAGUCAGAGGAGACCAGCCAACCUGUUGGACGCUCUGGAGCGAGGCGACCACCGCGGUGGAGAGGACGACGAUGCUGCUGUGGGAGAGGAGAAGGCAAACCGUUUGUCCACACUGUCUAUUCAACAUGACAAGAGGAUGGAUGAUGAAUUGCGGGGAGGAAAGCGUAAAAUCAAGUUGGUCCAGGAGCAGAAAAUCCGUGUGUCGGAGGAUGCGUCUGGGGAAGGUAAAGCCGGCAGAGCCAAGACGUUCCUGGCAGAGAUGAAGAAGUCGCUGAGCCGGGUGAACUUCGACCACAUCGUGCAGGCUCUGCAGACCUACAAGAAGACGGACGACCUGGAUGUCCUGCUGACUGAGACGUCUGUCCUGACUGAGGACACCAACACUCACGGUCUGCUCCGUGGCUUCUACCAGUUUGUCCGGCCUCAUCACAAGAAGAGGUUUGACGAGAGAUGUGCAGAGCAGACAGGGCAGGGCUGCGGAUACAAGCCGGACCACUCACUGUCCAAGGACGAGAAGAAGACUCUGAUGGAGCACAGUGACAGUGGGACAUCCACCUGCAGUCAGCUGAACACAGAGCAGCUAAACAAAGGGGGACACCACCUGAACCAGCAAGGACUGAGAGAACCUCAAAGUGCUUCUGCUCCAAAGAACGAGGCCCAUGCCGCUUUUCUUGCCGAUGUGAAAAAAGUCCUGGGAGCAGAAAAAUCCACUCGACUCUUUCAGACCAUUCACAACUACAAGAAGACAGACAACUUUGAACAUCUGGUGACCACGGUGGUGAGCUUGUUCACAGAGAGAGACGAGGACUUCAGCCUUCUGGUCCGAUUUGGCGUGUUCAUUCGCCCUCACCAUAAGAAGCAGUACAAAGAGAUGUUGGAUUCUUUGAUUGGUCGGCCAGUGUGAUCCUGCUGAUGUGAGCGAAGACCUGCAAAGAAAAGCUGUGACGACUCGAGGACAGAUUUUUUUUCUCGAGCAGCCAGAGGAAGUAGAAUCUGAGAUACAGCACGGUGGUGGUUGUGUUUCACACAUUUCCUAAUGACUCUUACUGCUGAGGAGCGUGGAGUCGCUCUGCCAUCUGGCACUGAACUGAUGGACCAGUCACUGUUGGAGCCUGUGGCUCCUGACGACAUGACACUGUUCUCCUCUACAUGAAGCAGAGUUUGUUCUGCGACUCCAGCAUGCUGCCAGCUGAUUGGUCGACGCGGGGUCGUUACUAAGACAAGCUGAUGCUAUGUUUUCAUAAGCUGUGAGGUUUGAUCAAAGGAGGCAAAGUACAUGGCAGAACAAUGUAGGCUUUUCAUGGAUCUGAUGUUUUCUGGUGUGAACUACAUUUCACCCCACUCGGACAGAUUGACCGACUAGUGGGAGCCAGGGGGCUGACACGAUUUGAGGCAGUUGCUUGUUUAAUUGAUUCAAUUUCAGUUUUAUUUAUAUAGCACCAGAUCACAACAUACAUCGUCUCAAGGCGCUUAACAUUACAACAUCACAGAGAAACUCAACAGUUCCCACAGUGAGCAGCUCUGAGUCUGUGGUGGUAUCUCCUCCUGUCGUCUCCCUUGCAUCUGCCUGUAGUGUAGGAAGAAGCUAAGAGACAAUCGUAUGAAAACUGAAUGUAGCAUUCAAUAAAGGAUUCCUUUGGAGAUUAAUGAACCGAGGACGUUUCUCAACUUGGAGCUGGAUUUGAAAUGAAAGUGUCUUGCACUUCGUCCCCACGUAUGUCUGCAGCUUCUGCUCGAAGAGAUGAAGACGAAGACUCUUUUCUGUCCUAAAUAUUCAUAAGCAUGUGUAACUAAAUAAUCAGGAUCAGUCAUUAAUGUGGAACUUCAGUGGCAUGGUGAGGGAUGUAGUAACCUUCGUCACGGGUUGAUGACCAUUAUUAUAAUGACCAUCAUUUUACUCACUAUUACAGAGAAACACAACAGUACCAUUACAUUACAGCAGCAAAGUGGGCAAAAGAAUAUAUAAGAAAUUUCCAAAAAGGGUUAGUAUGUACAAA